CUCUUUCUUUUUUUUUUUUCCUUCCUUCCCCUCCCUGUGGUACGACUGACUCGUUAAUUCGUGCUUGCGAUUCGUCAGGAGCUGCACAUAAACCCCAUCUGCUAUCGAGAAUCGCAAAUGCGAAUACAACAUCCCAGCAACGUUAAUGAUAGUGUCAACUCCUAGGACAUUGCAAAUGCCUCUCUGACAACUACCUUACAAUUACCAUCAUUGACUGGGGCGUUUCAAAAACUGAAAAAAAGUUAAGCUAUGAACGCCUCCAGGCCUAACGAAGCCCAUUCGGGAGAAUCUAUCAUCUAUCUGGCAACAAAGGUCAGGGAAGAAAUUUAGUAGUUAUUUUUAUAUCGGCUUACUGUAGAAGAAACCCCUGUCUAUAUCUCUUUGAGGACUCGUUCUCCUCUUUUGGGAUGGAUAUCCGGGGAUUUUUUUUUUUUUUGGUCGAAUUAUUCCUCAUGCAUCCUUGGAUAAGUCUAUUACUUUCGAGAGACGCGUCCAACAACUUGGGCGAAGGUUUGUAAAUAAGGGAUGAAAGGUCUCCACCAAAUAAGCUUUCAUUGCGGCCUCCUGCGGGCGGAUGUAAUUAGGAUGGCAAUCUGUAGGAA
rnacentral:sRNA from 2 species